rnacentral:rRNA from 1 species
CCCGCUGAACUUAAGCAUAUCAAUAAGCGGAGGAAAAGAAACUAACAAGGAUUCCCCUAGUAACUGCGAGUGAAGAGGGAAAAGCUCAAAUUUAAAAUCUGUUAGUCUUUGGCUGACCGAGUUGUAAAUUCGAGAAGUGUUAUCGGUGCUGGCCUGUGCAUAAGUCUCUUGGAAAAGAGCAUCAUAGAGGGUGACAAUCCCGUCUUUGGUACAGAGCUCCAGGGCUUCCAUGAUACACUCUCAAUGAGUCGAGUUGUUUGGGAAUGCAGCUCUAAAUGGGUGGUAAAUUCCAUCUAAAGCUAAAUAUUGGCGAGAAACCGAUAGCGAACAAGUACCGUGAGGGAAAGAUGAAAAGAACUUUGAAAAGAGAGUUAAACAGUACGUGAAAUUGUUGAAAGGGAAACGCUUGAAGUCAGUCGUGUCCUUCAGAAAUCAACCUGACUCUGGUCUGGCUUAUUUUCUGUUGGAUGGGCCAGCAUCAAUUUUGACCAUUGGAUAAAGGCCUUGGGAAAGUGGCAUCUCCGGAUGUGUUAUAGCCCAAGGACCACAUACAGUGGUUGGGAUUGAGGAACUCAGUGUGAAUUUGGGGUCUUGACCCACAACACGCACUUAGGAUGCUGGCAUAAUGGCUUUAAUCGACCCGUCUUGAAACACGG